GACGAACGCUGGCGGCGUGCUUAACACAUGCAAGUCGAACGGAAAGGCCCUGCUUUUGUGGGGUGCUCGAGUGGCGAACGGGUGAGUAACACGUGAGUAACCUGCCCUUGACUUUGGGAUAACUUCAGGAAACUGGGGCUAAUACCGGAUAGGAGCUCCUGCUGCAUGGUGGGGGUUGGAAAGUUUCGGCGGUUGGGGAUGGACUCGCGGCUUAUCAGCUUGUUGGUGGGGUAGUGGCUUACCAAGGCUUUGACGGGUAGCCGGCCUGAGAGGGUGACCGGCCACAUUGGGACUGAGAUACGGCCCAGACUCCUACGGGAGGCAGCAGUGGGGAAUAUUGCACAAUGGGCGGAAGCCUGAUGCAGAAACGCCGCGUGCGGGAUGACGGCCUUCGGGUUGUAAACCGCUUUCGCAUGUGACGAAGCGUGAGUGACGGUAAUGGGUAAAGAAGCACCGGCUAACUACGUG
rnacentral:rRNA from 1 species